rnacentral:rRNA from 1 species
AUGGAAGCCACCUCAGAACAAGACGGAGGUGGCAGCGGCGCCGGCGACUACGAAGCUCUCGUGGCAGCCCUGAUGGCCAACAGGCAACUGCUGGAAGCCAAGGUCGGCAUCAACAACGCAAUGUUCGCCGCCAGCGAUCUGGCUACGUCGCAGCUCGGCGAUUCCUUCGUCGUCGGCGGGUGCGAAGGGCAGAAGACCAUCGACGGCGAGCAGAUGCCACUGGUCCUGGGCCCGGCAAGGGAAGGCGCUGGCGAAGACGGCGGCACUGGGUACGAGGCGCUCGUGGCCGCUGUGAGGGCCAAGAGAGAAUGGCUGGAGGACAAGGUGGUGACCAACAGCGCCGUUCUGCUGCGGGGCUUCGAUGUCCGCGACGCGGCGGAGUUCGACGCCGUCGUGGAGGCGCUUGGGUGGCCGGACAUCCGGUACGUCGGCCCCGCGCCGCGCACCCACGUUCACGGCCGAAUCUGGACCGCCAACGAGGGGCCCCUCGAGCAGAGCGUCUACUUCCACCAUGAGAUGGUGCUGAUCAAGGAGUUCCCGGCGAAGGUGAUACUGUUCUGUGAGGUGCCGCCGCCGGAGGGCGGAGAGACGCCGUUCGUGCCGAGCUUCCGGGUGACGGAGCGGGCGCUGGAGGAGUUCCCGGAGAUGGUGGAGGAGCUGGACGCCAAGGGGCUCCGGUACACGUUCACGGCGCCGAGCAACAACAACACCGGGUCCAUGAGAGGGAGGGGAUGGGAGGACGCUUUCGGCACGUCAGACAAGUCUGAAGCAGAGACGAGGGCAAAGGCACUAGGAAUGGGCGUGGAGUGGCUUGAGGACGGUGGCGUGAAGACGAUCCUGGGUCCACGCACGCUGACCCGCGUCUUCCCAGGGCGCAAGGGACGGAGGAUGUGGUUCAACACGUUGGUCGGGAUGCACGGCAAGGAACUGAGCUCGGCCACGGUGGCCGACGGGGCCGAGAUCCCGGCGAGCUUCGUGCAACGGUGCGAGGAGAUCAUCGAGGAGGAGAGCAUCCAGUUCCGUUGGCGCAAGGGCGACAUCCUCAUCCUCGACAACCUCGCCACGCUACACGGCCGGCGGCCGUCGCUGCCGCCUAGGCGGGUUCUCGUCGCAACUUGCAAGUGA